rnacentral:rRNA from 1 species
CCCCUAGACGUUCUGGGCUGCACGCGCGCUACAAUAAUACGCACAGCGAGUAUCACCGAGCUCGAAAGGGCAAGGUAAACAAUAGAAAAGGUACUGUAAUGGUUAUAGAUCCUUGUAAUUAUUGAUCUUCAACGAGGAAUUCCUAGUAAGUAUGUGUCAUCAUCACGCACUGAUUACGUCCCUGCCCUUUGUACACACCGCCCGUCGCUGCCAUCGGUGGACGGCCGAGCCAGGGCUUUGGACUGCGAGCGCCUGCCCUUCGUCUUCGGACGGGGAGUCGUUGCCCGCGGAAAAUCGUCCGAACUCGGUCGCCCCGAGAUAGCAAAAGUCGUAACA